CGCGUAGGCGGAUUUGCAAGUCGGGGGUGAAAGCCCGAGGCUCAACCUCGGAACUGCCCUCGAUACUGCAAAUCUCGAGUCCGAGAGAGGUGAGUGGAAUUCCUAGUGUAGAGGUGAAAUUCGUAGAUAUUAGGAAGAACACCAGUGGCGAAGGCGGCUCACUGGCUCGGUACUGACGCUGAGGCGCGAAAGCGUGGGGAGCAAACA
rnacentral:rRNA from 1 species